rnacentral:tRNA from 1 species
GCAUCCAUGGCGGAAUAGGUAGACGCAAGGGACUUAAAAUCCCUCGGGCAUUGCCCGUGCCGGUUCGAUUCCGGCUGGAUGCACCA